rnacentral:rRNA from 1 species
UGGGGAAUAUUGCACAAUGGGGGAAACCCUGAUGCAGCGACGCCGCGUGAGCGAAGAAGGUUUUCGAAUCGUAAAGCUCUGUCCUAUGAGAAGAUAAUGACGGUAUCAUAGGAGGAAGCCCCGGCUAAAUACGUGCCAGCAGCCGCGGUAAUACGUAUGGGGCGAGCGUUGUCCGGAAUUAUUGGGCGUAAAGGGUACGUAGGCGGUCUAUUAAGUCAGGUGUGAAAGCGUGAGGCUUAACCUCAUUAAGCACUUGAAACUGAUAGACUUGAGUGAAGGAGAGGAAAGUGGAAUUCCUAGUGUAGCGGUGAAAUGCGUAGAUAUUAGGAGGAAUACCGGUGGCGAAGGCGACGUUCUGGACUUUUACUGACGCUCAGGUACGAAAGCGUGGGGAGCAAACAGG